rnacentral:rRNA from 1 species
CCAGACUCCUACGGGAGGCAGCAGUGGGGGAUAUUGCACAAUGGGGGGAACCCUGAUGCAGCGACGCCGCGUGGGUGAAGGAGCACCUCGGUGCGUAAAGCCCUAUCGGCAGGGAAGAAACAGACGGUACCUGACUAAGAAGCCCCGGCUAACUACGUGCCAGCAGCCGCGGUAAUACGUAGGGGGCAAGCGUUAUCCGGAUUCACUGGGGGUAAAGGGAGCGUAGACGGCGACGCAAGUCUGGAGUGAAAACCCGGGGCCCAACCCCGGGAGUGCAUUGGAAACUGCCAGGCUGGAGUGUCGGAGGGGGAAGCGGAAUUCCUAGUGUAGCGGUGAAAUGCGUAGAUAUUAGGAGGAACACCAGUGGCGAAGGCGGCGUACUGGACGACUACUGACGCUGAGGCUCGAAAGCGUGGGGAGCAAACAGGAUUAGAUACCCGCGUACCU